rnacentral:rRNA from 1 species
UUGGAGGGCAAGUCUGGUGCCAGCAGCCGCGGUAAUUCCAGCUCCAAUAGCGUAUAUUAAAGUUGUUGCAGUUGAAAAGCUCGUAGUUGAAUUUCGGGAUUGACGUGAUGGUCAUGCCUUAAGGGGUAUGAACUGUCACAGUUGAUUUCUCACCUUCUGGAGAAACUUGAUGUCCUUUAUUGGGUGUCUUGCGGAUCCAGGACCUUUACCUUGAAAAAAUUAGAGUGUUUAAAGCAGGCAUUUUUGCUCGAAUACAUUAGCAUGGAAUAAUAGAAUAGGACGGCAUGGUUCUAUUUUGUUGGUUUCUAGGAUCACCGUAAUGAUUAAUAGGGAUAGUUGGGGGCAUUAGUAUUCAAUUGUCAGAGGUGAAAUUCUUGGAUUUAUUCAAGACUAACUACUGCGAAAGCAUUUGCCAAGGAUGUUCUCAUUAAUCAAGAACGAAAGUUAGGGGAUCGAAGACGAUCAGAUACCGUCGCAGUCUUAACCAUAAACUAUGCCGACUAGGAAUCAGACGAUGUUAAUUUUUUAAUGACUCGUUUGGCGCCUUACGGGAAACCAAAGUGUUUGGGUUC